GACGAACGAUGGCGGCGUGCUUAACACAUGCAAGUCGAACGGAAAGUCCCUGCUUUUGUGGGGUGCUCGAGUGGCGAACGGGUGAGUAACACGUGAUUAACCUGCCCUUGACUUUGGGAUAACUUCAGUAAACUGGGGCUAAUACCGGAUAGGAGCUCCUGCUGCAUGGUGGGGGUUGGAAAGUUUCGGCGGCUGGGGAUGGACUCGCGGCUUAUCAGCUUGUUGGUGGGGUAGUGGCUUACCAAGGCUUUGACGGGUAGCCGGCCUGAGAGGGUGACCGGCCACAUUGGGACUGAGAUACGGCCCAGACUCCUACGGGAGGCAGCAGUGGGGAAUAUUGCACAAUGGGCGGAAGCCUGAUGCAGCAACGCCGCGUGCGGGAUGACGGCCUUCGGGUUGUAAACCGCUUUCGCCUGUGACGAAGCGUGAGUGACGGUAAUGGGUAAAGAAGCACCGGCUAGCUACGUG
rnacentral:rRNA from 1 species